GAUGAACGCUGGCGGCGUGCCUAAUACAUGCAAGUAGAACGCUGAAGCUUGGUGCUUGCACCGAGCGGAUGAGUUGCGAACGGGUGAGUAACGCGUAGGUAACCUGCCUGGUAGCGGGGGAUAACUAUUGGAAACGAUAGCUAAUACCGCAUAACAGUCGACAUUGCAUGAUGUUGAUUUGAAAGGGGCAAUUGCUCCACUACCAGAUGGACCUGCGUUGUAUUAGCUAGUUGGUGAGGUAACGGCUCACCAAGGCGACGAUACAUAGCCGACCUGAGAGGGUGAUCGGCCACACUGGGACUGAGACACGGCCCAGACUCCUACGGGAGGCAGCAGUAGGGAAUCUUCGGCAAUGGACGGAAGUCUGACCGAGCAACGCCGCGUGAGUGAAGAAGGUUUUCGGAUCGUAAAGCUCUGUUGUAAGAGAAGAACGAGUGUGAGAGUGGAAAGUUCACACUGUGACGGUAACUACC
rnacentral:rRNA from 1 species